rnacentral:rRNA from 1 species
GCGCCUACGGGAGGCAGCAGUGGGGGAUAUUGCACAAUGGGGGAAACCCUGAUGCAGCGACGCCGCGUGAGUGAAGAAGUAUUUCGGUACGUAAAGCUCUAUCAGCAGGGAAGAAAAUGACGGUACCUGACUAAGAAGCCCCGGCUAACUACGUGCCAGCAGCCGCGGUAAUACGUAGGUGGCGAGCGUUGUCCGGAAUUACUGGGUGUAAAGGAAGUGUAGGCGGGAAAAUAAGUCAGAAGUGAAAACUAUCGUCUUUACCCAAAGCCAG